CUACGGGUCGCUGCAGUGGGGAAUAUUGGACAAUGGGGGAAACCCUGAUCCAGCAAUGCCGCGUGUGUGAAGAAGGCCUGCGGGUUGUAAAGCACUUUCGGUUGGGAGGACUGCUUCUAGCACUAAUAUUGUUGGAAGUUGACGUUACCUUCAGAAGAAGCACCGGCUAACUCCGUGCCAGCAGCCGCGGUAAUACGGAGGGUGCAAGCGUUAAUCGGAAUUACUGGGCGUAAAGCGCGCGUAGGCGGCUAGAUCAGUCGGGUGUGAAAGCCCCGGGCUUAACCUGGGAACUGCAUCCGAUACUGUCUAGCCUGAGUACAGGAGAGGAGAGUGGAAUUCCACAUGUAGCGGUGAAAUGCGUAGAUAUGUGGAGGAACACCAAUGGCGAAGGCAGCUCUCUGGCCUGAUACUGACGCUGAGGUGCGAAAGCGUGGGGAGCGAACAGGAUUAGAUACCCUUGUAGUC
rnacentral:rRNA from 1 species